UCCUUUGCCUGAGGAUACAUAUCCAGAAAGAGACUACUAAGACUGAUGUGAAAAGUAUACUGCCUAUGUUUCCUUCUAGGAGUUCUAUGGUUUCUGGUUUUACAUUCAAGUCUUUAAUCCAUUUUGAGUUAAUUUUUAUGUAUGGUGUAAGAUAGGGUCUAGUUUCAUUCUUCUGCAUGUGCUAUCCAGUUUUCCCAACACAAUGUAUUGAAGAAACUGUCCUUUCUCCAUUGUAUGUUCUUUGCUCCUUUGUUGUAAAUUAAUUGUCCAUAAAUGUAUGGGUUUAUUUCUGGGCUCUCAAUUGUGUUCCAUUGAUUUAUGUCUGUUUUUCUGCCAAUACCAUGUGGUUUUGAUUAUUAUAGUUUUGUAGUAUAAUUUGAAAUCAGGGAGUGUAAUACCUCUGCUUUGAUCAUUUUUCCUCAAGAUUGCUUUGGCUAUCCAAGUCUUCUGCAGUUCUAUACAAAUUGUAGGAUUUUUUGUGCUAUUUCUAUCAAAAAUGUCAUUGGUAUUUUGAUGGGGAUUUCACUGAAUCCAUAGGUUGCUUCAGGUAAUGUGGAUAUUUUAACAAUGUUAAUUUUUUUAACAUGAGCAUGGACUAUCUUUCCAUUUCUUUGUGUCUUAUUCAAUUUCUUUCAACAAUGUCUUAUAGUUUUCACUUCUUUGGAUUAAUUUACUACUAAGUAUUUUAUUCUUUCUGUUGUGAUUGUAAAAGGAAAUGUUUCCUUAAUUUCUCUUUAUGCUAGUUCAUUCUUAGUGUACAGAAAUGCAACAGAUUUCUGUAUGCUGAUUUUGUAUCCUACAACUUUACUGCAUUCAUUUAUUAUUUUUAAUAGUUUUUCUGUGGAAUCUUUAGGGUUUUCUAUAUAUAAAAUCAUGUUACCCACAAAUAGUGACAGUUUUACUUCUUCCUUUCCAAUCUGGAUUUCUUUUUCUUACCUAAUUGUUCUAGCUAGGACUUCAGUACUAUGUUGAGUAAGAGUGGCAAGGUGGCAAGAGUGGGUAUCCUUCUCUUGUUCCAAAUCUUAAGAGAAAAAAUUUUCAGUUUUUCACCAUUCAGUAUGAUGUUAGCUGUGGGUUUGUCACAUAGGGCUUUUAUUAUGUUGAUGUAUGCUCCUUCAUUUUAUUGAGUUUUUUCUUUUAAAAUCAUAAAUGGGUGUUGACUCUUGUCAUAUGCUGUUUCUUGGGCAUCUAUUGAUAUAAUCAUGAUUUUUGUCCUUCAUUUUUGUUAAUGUGUUGUAUCAUGUUGAUUGAUUUGUGGAUACUGAACCAUCCUUACAUCCCUGGAAUAAAGCCCACUUGAUCAUGGUGGAAGCCCCUUUUAGUGUAUUUCUAUAUUCAGUUUGCUAAUGUUUUGUUGAGAAUGUUUACAUCUAUGUUUGUCAGACAUACUGGCCUGUAAUUAUCUUUUUUGUAUGUUGUUCUUGUCUGGUUUUGGUAUUAGGGUAAUGUUGGCCUCAUAAAAAGAGUUAUGAAGUGUUCCCUUCUCUUCUAGUUUUUGGAAGCAUUUGAGAAGAAUUGGUAUUGUCUUUAAAUGUUUGGUAGAAUUCAGCAAUUAAGUUGUCUGGUCCUGGAUGUGUUUCUUAGGAGGUUUUUGAUUACUGUUUCCAUCUCCCUACUAGUGAUUGAUCUAUUCAGAUUUUCUAUUUCACGUGGAUUCAGUCUUGGAAGAAUGUGUGAUUCUAAGAAUUGAUCCAGUUCUUCUAGGUUGUCCAAUUUUUUGAUGCAGAGCUGUUCACAGUAUUCUUUGAUAAUCCUUUGUAUUUCUGUGAUAGUGGCUGUAAUGUUUCCUUGUUUCUGAUUUUAUGUAUCUACACCUUCUCUUUUUUCUUAGUGUGUCUAGCUAAAGGUUUGUCAAUUUUCUUUAUCUCUUUAAAGAACCAGUUUCAUUGACUUUUUUUCCAUUGCCUUUUUUAGUCUCUAUUUCAUUUAUUUCUGCUCUGAUUUUUAUUUUCUUCCUUAUAUUGAUUUUAGACUUUGUUCUUUUCCCCCCCUAGUUCCUUUAGGUGUAAUGUUAGACUGUUUAUUUGAGAUAUUUCUUGUUUCUUAAGGUAGGCCUUAUUGCUAUAAACAUUCCUCUAAGUACUGCUUUUGCUACAUCCCAUAGAUUUUGAUAUGUUGUAUUUUCAUUUUAUUUGUGUUCAGGUAUUUUUUGAUUUCUCCUUUUGAUUUCUUCAUUGACCCAAUAGUUGUUCAGUAGCAUGUUGUUUAGUCUCCACAUAUUUGUGAUUUUUCCAGCUUUCUUCUUGUAUUGAUAGUUGAUCAGGCCAUGGCGGUGGAAAAGAUGCCUGAUAUGAUUUCAAUAUUUAAAUUCAUUGUGACUUCUUUUGUGUUCCAACAUAUGGUAUAUUUUUGAAAAUGUUCCAUGUGCAAUUUAAGAAGAAUAUGUAGUCUGCUGCAUUUGGAUGAAAUGAUGUGUAUAAAUAUCUUAAGUCCACUGUUUCACUUAAGGACUAUGUUUCCUUUUUGACUUUAUGUUUGAAUGAUAUAUACAUUUCUCUAUGAAUUCUUGAAUUUCUUUCAUCAAUGUUUUAUA